CGCCCCGGGACGAAGCUCUCGGCAGCUAGUCCCGCCUCAGGACCGCGCCGCCGGCUCCACCCGACCGCGCUCCCCCUCACGCUCCGGGCAACCCCGCCCCCGUCCGGCGCGCACACGACCCCGGGGGCACGGCGGUGCCGGUAGCGCCGCCCGGCGGAGGGACACGGCGCCACCGGUAGCGCCGCCAUGCGUUAUUCCGGUGCGUGAGCUACGAGCAGCCCCGCUGCCGACCACCAACUUCCCAGUGCGGGGGGCGCGAGACUCUCUAACAAGUCAACCCCAGCGCAGGGCGGCUUCCUGCUGUACGAGGGCUCCCGUCGCGCCGCUGCUCUCCGCCUUUCGGCCGGCCCUCCUCCGCCCGGCGCCCCCAGUGGAGUUACCUCGCCCGUCACCAUAGCCCGGCGGGUCGCUGUUGGCGGCCAUAACAGUUUCCAUCCGGGGACUGCGGAGCUGCGAGCCUAGAGCUGGGGGCGGCCGUCGCGGAGGGAUACGCGUUCACCUGGUGCGGGCGGACGGCGGCCGACGAGGCCCACGGGAUGGAGCGCUGGGGGAGGAGGCACCGCCCGGGGGCGGGGGCCCUGCCGGCCUCUCCUCCUCUUGGGCUGAGGAAGCUGAGGCUUCCUGUGUCCCGGCCUUGGGCCGCGUCGGCCUGGUGCCGGCCCGAGGCCUGCAGGCCAGGUGGCAGCGAGCAGCCCGGCGCCACGGGCGUUUCCUGACAGGCUCCCCCAGCGCCCACAUCCGCUCUCCGACAGCCUUAAGCCAUGAGUGAAUCAACGAAGUGAUUAGUCAAAUUGCAAAUAUGUGCUGCUACUGUUUUGGAGGAACUGAAAACCAACUGCAGCUGAAGAAAAGAAUGAGAAAAAGUAAAGGAAAAAAAAGAAACAGUCUAAUUCUAUCUACAGUCCUAAAGAUGCAAAAGACAACAAGGAAGAAUUACCGUGACAAUGGACAAGUGGCUACAGUUGAACUUGUGUGAAAAUGUUACUUUUCCUUAUCGGAAAGUGAAAAUAUGAAUUGUAUUGUCAGUUACACGUCCCACCAAAAUGCAUGAAGACACAAAUAAAUAUUUAAUCUGUGGUGAAUCAUUUUGUGAUAUAAAUUCAGACCACAUA
rnacentral:lncRNA from 1 species